GGUCAAAAAAUUUUUCCGGACAUACCAUAAUUGUCCGGAACCUACAAAAUUUUGGGAAAUUUCACAAAAUUUUCCGCAAAAUUUACAGAAUUUGUCCCAUUUAUUUUUUUAAUUAACCAAAAUUGCCCGACUGUUUAGUCAAUAUUGCCCGACUGCCCAAAAAACUGGGGGGGGGGCUACCGCCCCCCCCGCCCGGUACGCCCAUGAAAAAGGCAGUUGACUUUGACGUUGAAUUCAUGUUGUUUUGGCGACCUCCCCCCCCGUCGCCAAAAAAAUUUCGGUCAGUGUACCAUUUUAGGGGUCAAAAAAUUUGAAUUGAAUUCAUGUUGUUGAAUUCAUGUUGUUUUGUUUACGCGCAGGACACGCGUGUCCCAAGAGAAAUAAAUGUGUUAUAACGAUAGUGAUUUGCUUUUCU